UGGAGAAAUGAUCUGAAGUAAAUAGAAUGAAAUUCAAUGUGUAAAAAAUUCCCUUUUGCUUAAGAAUUUGUCCGACUUUUUAUUUAAUGUGGACACUAUGGUUACUUUACCUAGACAUGAGGAAGAACUUUGUGAAGCUCAAAAGUUUGUCCCUUCCACCAACAGAAGUUGAUCCAAUAAAAAUGGAUUACACCAUCUGCUUUACAUCUUUUUUCUCUCCAAUGUUAUUCAGUAUCAUUGAUGCAUUGCUGGUUGAGGGAAAAGCUUUAAGAAGCAUUUGUCAGUGGCAUUGAAGUGAACGUAAUUUUACUUUAAGACCUCAACUAUUAUAAUGACAUUGCCUUGAUGGCUCAGUAUGGUGAAUCACUACAGAUGAUGGCUGAUUUGGUCAGGCAAGAAGCAGCAAAAACUGGUUAUAUUAACAACUCAGAUAAAAUUAAGUCCUCAAUCAUUACCUUUCAAGCUGCCCUCAAACCUGGAUUACAAUCAGCUAAGAAUUAACUUGUAUGAUGGGAGAUGCAACAAGUGACAAUUGUCAACUACCUGGAAACCAUCAAAGGCAAGGCUUGUGGAGAUCUGAAAGAUGUAUAUGGUUGUAUAGCAGUAGCUGACACCAUGAUCUGGGUCCCUCAGCAGCUUUUGUGGAGACUGUAAUAUCCAUCUUAUCAGAAAGCUGAAGAUUUAAUCAGUUAUACAAUCUUUAUGUCAUAGCAAUAAAAUGUGGGUGCUUAGGAAGGCUGAAAAGCAAACUGAUGUUUUUUAUUCUGAUUGUUUUCAUCAGCUAUUUCACUGUAAGUGGCAGGAGAAAAUUAGCAACAGGAUAUUCAUGGCUGAGCUUAGCAGUCACCUCCAUCAGCACUGAUUUGGUUUUGAAGGCUCUCUUAACUGGACGAUCAACAAAUUACAAAAACAGAAACAGUCUAGGGGAUGUUUGCCAGGCCCUGGUGUGAUCAAUGUAAAAUGCAAGCGCUCUGCAAACGUCGAGAGUGUGCCACGCAGUGUGCAAAGCAUCAGCAUGCGGUUUAGGAAAAAAGGCAGUGCUUCUGGCAGGUCUGGGAGAAGUCAAAUUUGAAGAAGCAUGGAGAGAAACUGUGGAGAGGCAACAGAUUGAGUGCAAGAUGGAAAAUGUGAGCUGGAAAAGGACUGUGACAGAAACAGAAGGAGUGUGUGUGGAGGAUAGAGGGCUAACAAGGCAAGGAGAGCAAUACAGAGGCAGGAGAUUAGGAAGUGUUUGGCAAAAAAAGAUUUGGAGGGAAUCAGAGAGGGAUGAAAAUUACUGUUGUUAUAAUGCUUACUAAAUGCACACUAGGUGCCUACUCAUACAGAGUAAACACAAAGACCUGUCCCAUAAAACAACAUUUCAACUUCAGACAGAGGUAACAAUAAAGCCUCAUCUGAUAUACAGUCAUGUUUCAAUGCGCAAGCAUACACUGAUGUACUUUUCAAAUAUGAAUGCAUGUAUGUACAUCAGAAUACUUAAAAUGUACAAAAGAACAUGUUCUGAAAAUAAGGAUGAUUAUACAUACAAAAUAAAAAGAAGUUACUCACCUUGUGCAGUAACGA